AAUCAACGCUGGCGGCGUGCCUCAGACAUGCAAGUCGAACGCGAAAGGCUCCUUCGGGGGCCGAGUAGAGUGGCGCACGGGUGAGUAACACGUAGGUAAUUUGCCUUUGGGUGGGGAAUAACUCAGGGAAACUUGAGCUAAUACCGCAUAAUGCAGCGGCUCGACAUCGAGACAGUUGUUAAAGCGGGGGAUCGCAAGACCUCGCGCCUGAAGAGAAGCCUGCGGCAGAUUAGCUAGUUGGUAGGGUAAUGGCCUACCAAGGCGACGAUCUGUAACCGGCCUGAGAGGGCGGUCGGUCACACUGACACUGACAUACGGGUCAGACUCCUAUGGGAGGCAGCAGUCGGGAAUUUUGGGCAAUGGGCGCAAGCCUGACCCAGCAACGCCGCGUGAAGGAUGAAAUCCC
rnacentral:rRNA from 1 species